AGAGUUUGAUCAUGGCUCAGAUUGAACGCUGGCGGUAUGCUUUACACAUGCAAGUCGAACGGCAGCACGGGGCAACCUGGUGGCGAGUGGCGAACGGGUGAGUAACAUAUCGGAACAUAUCCGGAAGUGGGGGAUAACGUAGCGAAAGUUACGCUAAUACCGCAUAUACCCUGAGGGGGAAAGGGGGGGAUCGCAAGACCUCUCGCUUUCGGAGUGGCCGAUAUCGGAUUAGCUAGAUGGUGAGGUAAAGGCUCACCAUGGCGACGAUCCGUAGCGGGUCUGAGAGGACGACCCGCCACACUGGAACUGAGACACGGUCCAGACUCCUACGGGACGCAGCAG
rnacentral:rRNA from 1 species